ACUGCACAGCCUUCAGGAUUUAGCUACAGACAUGGAACGUCCUUGAGAUUUUAUUAAACAGCUAACAUGAAACGUCCCUUCAAGUUAUAAUACUUUUAAUUGGAUUAGAUUUUGCAUCGUUUCCAGCUUUACUGAAAGAAGAAUAUGCAGCAUGCUAAAGGCAAUCUUGGUUUCCACUAUAUCACUGUGCAUCUGUAGAGCCCUGAAGAUGCAGUUCAUCUGCAAACACAGUGGCAAUUUCAGAGUAAUCGAGAGCCACCUUGUGGAGCUGGGAUUCAUGAAGGGGCUCUGAAUAACACUGCUGGGAACAGCUGUUCACGAUGAGGAAUCCAAACCUAACAGGAUGCUGGAGGCUGCUAAUCAAGUUAACUGAAAACAUUCCAUGUUGGCUAUAGAGGCUUAAAAAUGCUGAGUUCUACUUCCCUCUCCACGCUACCUGCCUGCAGCACCUCUUCAACUCAUAGCACUUUACUGCGACUGGAGCUGAUCUCCAAAGUGGGAGAAGCCCUGCAAAGUUCAACCCAGAUGGGCGAACCCAUCUGAUCAGCAUUUCCAUCUCUGGAGGAGGGGAAGCGGGGAGAGGAGAUAAGGCAGAGGUAGAUACAUGAGGGUUUGAAUAAAUGAGCUGGACAGCGGUGGCAGGGAAAUGGUUUUCACUUUGUUAUAUGUUUUCUGAUACCAAAAAAAGGAAGCGAUGACAAAAGCU